CCCGUAGCCCAACCGGAUAGAGCAAUUGCCUUCCAAGCAAUGGGGCGGGUGUUCGAGUCCCUCCGGGGCCA
rnacentral:tRNA from 1 species